AUUCUUAUAUGUCAGGGGUAGUGCCAUGAUCAUUAAGGUGGUUCUCCCAGCGCCAAGGCUCAUCUAUUCCAUUCCAGAUGCGCUGACCUCCUGAGAUUUCACCAAAUGUGGGAAACUUGAUUGCAUAAUUUAUGGUGGUGGUGAACUGUGUUCACUCUUUCUCCAG
rnacentral:snRNA from 2 species